GAAGUUCCUAUGAACGGGAAAGUAAAAUGAUGGAUGCUGUACAGAGAGUCCGGGCCUGGUGGAAUCCGGAUCAGAACCAUCCUUUGAAUAUCACCCGGGAGGUGCCUGCUGAAACCUGUAAACCCAGGGAGUAGGUUUGGCCGGUGCACCGCCGUUAACGGUGUUCGGAGUGUUCAGGAAUGAUCCUGUUCAUGAGGGUGGUACCGCGGGUAAUAAGCUCGUCCCUUUG
rnacentral:ncRNA from 1 species